AUUGAACGCUGGCGGCAGGCUUAACACAUGCAAGUCGAGCGGGGUGAUGGUGCUUGCACUAUCACUUAGCGGCGGACGGGUGAGUAAUGCUUAGGAAUCUGCCUAUUAGUGGGGGACAACAUCUCGAAAGGGAUGCUAAUACCGCAUACGUCCUACGGGAGAAAGCAGGGGAUCACUUGUGAGCAUGCGCUAAUAGAUGAGCCUAAGUCGGAUUAGCUAGUUGGUGGGGUAAAGGCCGACCAAGGCGACGAUCUGUAGCGGGUCUGAGAGGAUGAUCCGCCACACUGGGACUGAGACACGGCCCAGACUCCUACGGGAGGCAGCAGUGGGGAAUAUUGGACAAUGGGGGGAACCCUGAUCCAGCCAUGCCGCGUGUGUGAAGAAGGCCUUAUGGUUGUAAAGCACUUUAAGCGAGGAGGCUCUUUUGGUUAAUACCCAAGAUGAGUGGACGUUACUCGCAGAAUAAGCACCGGCUAACUCUGUGCCAGCAGCCGCCGCCG
rnacentral:rRNA from 1 species